GCCAGGCACAGUGGCAUAUGCCUGUAAUCCCAGCUACUCAGGAGGCUGAGGCAGGAGGAUCGAAAGUUCAAAAGCCAUCCUGGGCAAUUUAGUGAGACCCUGAUUCAA
rnacentral:sRNA from 1 species